GAGUCUCAAAUUCGUUCUCCUUUUUCCUUUGAUGAUCAACAUAUGCAAAGAUUUCAAUCCUCCAUAACUUCCUCGUUUCUCUACGGAAUUGGACGAUUCUUGCGGCCACGGAACGAGGAGAAGGAGAGCUACUGAUCUAUCCCUAUUAUUCAAGGUAAAAAAUCACAACUUGAGGUUAGGGUUUCUAAGUUUUAUUUUGGUUUUAGAGUUAAUUAAGGGUUUUGGUGUAAUUGAUGUUCAUAUGAGUUUAUAAGCUUUCAUGGAAGAUUGUUGAUGGUGAAUUUAAGCCUUGAAGCUUCGGCAUAGGGACAACAUCCAAGACUCGACGAAGCGACUAUCGACAAGGCUCGAGGGGAACGGAUCGAGAUGUCUUCGUGUUUAUUUGAAGAAUUUGGAUAGCAAGUGGGAUAGCAUGAUAUAAUUUGGAAAGUCAAGCUUCCGAAGUUUUAAUUCUCGGAAGUCAUUUGCACAAGAAGUGAAAGAAGGUUUUCAUUCUAGCGGUCCGCAGUAGUCUAGAUGUUUUUGUCUAUGUAUUUGUACAAUGCGUUUUAACUCUGAUGUUUUUGUAAAAUGGGGUCACAUGUAUUUUGAUAUAUAAAAUAUGAUUUGAUUUGCGAAAAAUUUACACAGGUUUUUAGGCUUGCUACGGG